AAUAGAUACCCGGGUAGUCCACGCCCUAAACGAUGCUCACUAGGUGUUGGGGAAGCGAUUCCUUGGUACCGUAGCUAACGCGUGAAGUGAGCCGCCUGGGGAGUACGGCCGCAAGGUUAAAACUCAAAGGAAUUGACGGGGACCCGCACAAGCGGUGGAUGAUGUGGAUUAAUUCGAUGCAACGCGAACAACCUUACCUACCCUUGACAUGUCCGGAAGCCUGCUGAAAGGCGGGGGUGCUCGAAAGAGAACCGGAACACAGGUGCUGCAUGGCUGUCGUCAGCUCGUGUCGUGAGAUGUUGGGUUAAGUCCCGCAACGAGCGCAACCCUUGUCCCUAGUUGCUACGCAAGGGCACUCUAGGGAGACUGCCGGUGACAAACCGGAGGAAGGUGGGGAUGACGUCAAGUCCUCAUGGCCCUUAUGGGUAGGGCUUCACACGUCAUACAAUGGACGGUACAGAGGGUUGCCAACCCGCGAGGGGGAGCCAAUCCCAGAAAGCCGUUCGUAGUCCGGAUCGCAGUCUGCAACUCGACUGCGUGAAGUCGGAA
rnacentral:rRNA from 1 species